rnacentral:rRNA from 1 species
CAGUAGGGAAUCUUCGGCAAUGGACGAAAGUCUGACCGAGCAACGCCGCGUGAGUGAAGAAGGUUUUCGGAUCGUAAACUCUGUUGGUAGAGAAGAACGUUGGUGAGAGUGGAAAGCUCAUCAAGUGACGGUAACUACCCAGAAAGGGACGGCUAACUACGUGCCAG